UACCAGCUCCUAUAAAUUAAAGUACAAAAAAGAAAGAGAGAGACGAGGGAUCAAAAUAGCAGGCCUAGGCAUGGAAGCUUGAGAACAUGGCUGGCACUAUGCGAGUAUUUGAUCCAUCACUAAUUAUAAGCUCUAUAAGACCAUACACUAAGAACUUGCUGGCAUUACCUCAUGAACUAGGAGUCAUCAGUAGCUCUAGAUGAUCUGGAGUAACUGAUAGGAAGGGGGAAUGGAUAAUGUAUAAAAAUUUAAAAAAUGUACAUUCCUUUUAUCUAUCUAUACCUUUUCAAGAUUCUGCCACAUCUAGGUAUUGGGAGUGGGAGGCAGCCAGGAGGGCUGCUCCAAUGCCAGAGCCAUCAUUCGAGUGCUCAAUUACAAUGCUCUCAGAAACUUCCUCUCCAAGCAACUCCUUGAGAGUGCUCUCCAUGCAGACACGGAAUUUAGUGUAGUGCUCAAACAACCCACCAUCCAAUGCUAUUACCGACCUCUGCUUUUCCCCAUCCUUCACUGUAUCCCUUCCCAAUUUCUUUAGGACGCCUGCAAUUCCAGCAGCAGAUAGGCGGGCACCACGAGAGGCAACAAUGCCACAGAGCUCAACAAUAACUUUUCUCAUUUUCAGGGAGGUAUUAGGUAUCUGAGCAAGAAAUAAGAAACCAGAUAACAGAUGCUAUUAUAAAAUCAAGAAAAUUAUUUUGCUGCAUGAUUGUUAAGUUCACAUGUUAAUGACAAAAAUUGCAACUCUUGUAUUUACUUCUAUAUUUUUCAGCAAGAAUGCUUCGACACUCAAUAAGGCAUUCGAACAUCUUGCAUGAAAUGACCGUUGUUUUUCAACUUGGGGUUAGGUGUACGGACAAAUUGCCUUCUGCCAGGCCUUCCAUGAGAGAUGUAUUGCAAAUCCUUCGUCAAUGCAAUAAUCCCACUUGUUUAUGGACUCGAGGAUAUAGGAAGAGAGAGUCAAGCUGUUAGGACAUUAUUGCAUAGGAUGUGAAAUUGUGAGUCCAAUUGAAAUGAUAAUAUUGCACUUUUUUUUUUUUUUUUCUUUUUUUUUUGUGAAACCGAGUCCUAGACUCCUAGUGUAAAUAAUUGUGAUGUGGCAAUAUGAUUAUAUGCUGAUGUGUAUUAGUUAGGUGAUGUGGCUGUGAUGCAAGAUGUAUAUAAACAAAAUCCUACCAUUAGUAAAAAUAAUAUAAUCUAAAUUUUUAAGCAUCUCCCAUGAAAUUAUUUAUGACUAUCUCAAAACUUAAAUUACUCUACUUAACUUUAAGACCAAACUCAAGAGCCUCCCAUAUAUCUGCCAUGUAGCUUUUAGCUAACAUUUGUGUGAUUGAGAUUUUAUAUGCCUUUUCGCAUAGAGAGAGUUAACAAAUUUUAGCUCUAAAGUUCAAUGAAAACAAUUUUCAGAAUUCUGUCAAAAUUUGAGUAGAAAACCUUAAAAUUUGGACAUUUAGUACCUGUAAUAAAGCAGUGAUUUAUAUAAAAUUAUAGCCGUCAGAAGUCACUAUAGACUCUUAUCACAUCAACAGAAAUUAAAAUGCUCACUCGGCAACAUAAUAAUCCCAUCCUCCACUAACAAUUCAUAUUCCACAACCGAAAUUUAAUUUAAAAAAAUUAGCAUACAAGGAAAUAAAAGAAUGCCUCUUCAGACACUAACAUUUCUUUAAUCUCACACAUUCAUUUCCAUUUUCAUGAAAGCUAAAUUUACACCAACCUGGGUAUCUUAUACUAACUAUUUAUAUUAGGUUUCUAAUCAUGUUGUUUAAGUUAAGAACUUAAUUAUAGUUAACCAAUUAAUCAGAUGAGUUACACUAAUAGCCAAUUCAAAUUUGUUAUCACAGCUAACGAUAAAAGAAAAUCUCCUCCUUAUUUCCAAUUGACCAGAGAAACAUAUUUGCCGAAUGUUGCUACUCAAAUAGCAGAAGUUUUUACAUCCCCCAGUUUUAUUUACCAGCUCCUAUAAAUUAAAGUACAAAAAAGAAAGAGAGAGACGAGGGAUCAAAAUAGCAGGCCUAGGCAUGGAAGCUUGAGAACAUGGCUGGCACUAUGCGAGUAUUUGAUCCAUCACUAAUUAUAAGCUCUAUAAGACCAUACACUAAGAACUUGCUGGCAUUACCUCAUGAACUAGGAGUCAUCAGUAGCUCUAGAUGAUCUGGAGUAACUGAUAGGAAGGGGGAAUGGAUAAUGUAUAAAAAUUUAAAAAAUGUACAUUCCUUUUAUCUAUCUAUACCUUUUCAAGAUUCUGCCACAUCUAGGUAUUGGGAGUGGGAGGCAGCCAGGAGGGCUGCUCCAAUGCCAGAGCCAUCAUUCGAGUGCUCAAUUACAAUGCUCUCAGAAACUUCCUCUCCAAGCAACUCCUUGAGAGUGCUCUCCAUGCAGACACGGAAUUUAGUGUAGUGCUCAA
rnacentral:lncRNA from 1 species